rnacentral:rRNA from 1 species
UUGAACGCUGGCGGCAGGCCUAACACAUGCAAGUCGAGCGGAUGAAGGGAGCUUGCUCCUGGAUUCAGCGGCGGACGGGUGAGUAAUGCCUAGGAAUCUGCCUGGUAGUGGGGGAUAACGUCCGGAAACGGGCGCUAAUACCGCAUACGUCCUGAGGGAGAAAGUGGGGGAUCUUCGGACCUCACGCUAUCAGAUGAGCCUAGGUCGGAUUAGCUAGUUGGUGGGGUAAAGGCCUACCAAGGCGACGAUCCGUAACUGGUCUGAGAGGAUGAUCAGUCACACUGGAACUGAGACACGGUCCAGACUCCUAUGGGAGGCAGCAGUGGGGAAUAUUGGACAAUGGGCGAAAGCCUGAUCCAGCCAUGCCGCGUGUGUGAAGAAGGUCUUCGGAUUGUAAAGCACUUUAAGUUGGGAGGAAGGGCAGUAAGUUAAUACCUUGCUGUUUUGACGUUACCAACAGAAUAAGCACCGGCUAACUUCGUG